GACGAACGCUGGCGGCGUGCCUAAUACAUGCAAGUUGAGCGCUGAAGGUUGGUACUUGUACCAACUGGAUGAGCAGCGAACGGGUGAGUAACGCGUGGGGAAUCUGCCUUUGAGCGGGGGACAACAUUUGGAAACGAAUGCUAAUACCGCAUAAAAACUUUAAACACAAGUUUUAAGUUUGAAAGAUGCAAUUGCAUCACUCAAAGAUGAUCCCGCGUUGUAUUAGCUAGUUGGUGAGGUAAAGGCUCACCAAGGCGAUGAUACAUAGCCGACCUGAGAGGGUGAUCGGCCACAUUGGGACUGAGACACGGCCCAAACUCCUACGGGAGGCAGCAGUAGGGAAUCUUCGGCAAUGGACGAAAGUCUGACCGAGCAACGCCGCGUGAGUGAAGAAGGUUUUCGGAUCGUAAAACUCUGUUGGUAGAGAAGAACGUUGGUGAGAGUAGAAAGCUCAUCAAGUGACGGUAACUACCCAGAAAGGGACGGCUAACUACGUG
rnacentral:rRNA from 1 species